rnacentral:rRNA from 1 species
GACAGAGGGUGCAAACGUUGUUCGGAAUUACUGGGCGUAAAGCGCGUGUAGGCGGCCACGCAGGUCCGCUGUGAAAACUCGAGGCUUAACCUCGAGAUGUCAUCGGAAACCAUCUGGCUAGAGUCCGGAAGAGGAGAGUGGAAUUCCUGGUGUAGCGGUGAAAUGCGCAGAUAUCAGGAAGAACACCCGUGGCGAAGGCGGUUCUCUGGGACGGUACUGACGCUGAGACGCGAAAGCGUGGGGAGCGAACAGG